UUCCCCCUAAUGUAUAAUGGUGAAAUUAGAUGAUGGGAGAUAUAGCAAAGAAGCAAGAUUCAGAAAUGCAGGAUGCCCAUCUAUCUGCAAAUACAAAGGAGGUUGGAAUUACUGGUAAAAUGAGCCAUGAUGAGCUUUGUGAUUCCAUGCACUCCCAAAUGGUGCAUUAUUAUGAUGCUGCAUUUGAGGAACUCUUUGCCCUUUCUUUGUCCUCAAGAUUGGAGGCCCAACACAUUCAAUAAAUAGUACUCUUUUUUUUUUUU